rnacentral:rRNA from 1 species
UACAGAGGGGGCUAGCGUUGUUCGGAAUUACUGGGCGUAAAGGGCGCGUAGGUGGCCUGUUAAGUCGAACGUGAAAUCCCCGGGCUCAACCCGGGAACUGCGUCCGAGACUGGCAGGCUCGAAUCCGGGAGAGGGAUGUGGAAUUCCAGGUGUAGCGGUGAAAUGCGUAGAUAUCGGGAGGAACACCUGAGGCGAAGGCGGGCUACUGGGCUGAUACUGACGCUGAGGCGCGAAAGCCAGGGGAGCGAACGGG